GACGAACGCUGGCGGCGUGCUUAACACAUGCAAGUCGAACGGAAAGGCCCUGCUUUUGUGGGGUGCUCGAGUGGCGAACGGGUGAGUAACACGUGUGUAACCUUCCCUUGACUUUGGGAUAACUUCAGGAAACUGGUGCUAAUACCGGAUAGGAGCUCCUGCUGCUUGGUGGUGGUUGGAAAGUUUCGGCGGUUGGGGAUGGACUCGCGGCUUAUCAGCUUGUUGGUGGGGUAGUGGCUUACCAAGGCUUUGACGGGUAGCCGGCAUGAGAGGGUGACAGGGCACAAGGGGACUGAGAUACGGCACAGACUGCAACGGGAGGCAGCAGUGGGGAAUAGUGCAAAAGGGGAGGAAGCCUGAUGCAGAAAAGCCGCGUGCGGGAUGACGGCCUUCGGGUUGUAAACCGAUUUCGCCUGUGACGAAGCGUGAGUGACGGUAAUGGGUAAAGAAGCACCGGCUAACUACGUG
rnacentral:rRNA from 1 species